UCUUCAAGCUGGCCAUAUAUUGACUAAAAACUUUUAUAUUGUAAAUAUUUAUCUUUUUUAUUUCUUUCCUUGUUUACAAGAAAAUAGAUGACUCGAGUGUUACAAACAAUAGUUUUUAAGGAAUAAUGUGAAAUAAGUUAAUUUUUAUUUGGUAAAAAACGUAAUCAACGUGAUAACUUAAUAACAUUAAGUAGUCCUACCAGACACUAACUUAGAUGAUCCUGGAGCAAAGGCUGUAAUUUGACCUGAACCCAAAUUGGUCUCUAUUUUAAAUAUUGUCUUGAACCAAUAAGUUAAGAGGACUAACCUUUCUGGACGACAUUGCCAUCGACAUCACUGCAGAUGAGAGAGAAAGAGAGACCAGAGUUGUGGACCCUGGAGGCAAUUACCAUACUGCCGUGAUAAUGUUACUUGGUCUAACCAUAACUUAAGUGAGAACUGAAGCCUACCAGUAAAAUGGGGGCGUUGUAAUUAAUAUCCUCCGACAUUGGAGAAUACAGGGGAGAGGUGCCAGAGGAAGAGGAGAUCGAGGAUGGGGCGAAGUAAAGACUAAGAUUGAAGAGAACUAACUAAUGGCCUGAUGACAGGGUGGAUGGCGAUGGAGGCAUGGAGGUUGGGGGAGAGGAGGCUGAAGAAGUGGAGACAAAUCAGUUUGGAUCCAUUAUGUUGAUUAGUUUAACAUUUAUUUUGAACAUCAGUAUUUACAUUUUUUUCUCAUUUAGAUUAUUAAAUUAAGAUAAUUUUAUUGUUUUUAUGAAGAUUUUUUCUUACAUUUUUAAUAUUUGUUUGUACUUCUGCCUGGUAAAAAAAAUACUGUUUAUUAUGUUUGUUAAAAUGAUUACUUUCACUAACUUACCUUGUCUUGGGUAACAAGAGAUAUCUUGAUAUUUAACUAGCAGGGUGCCUGUUCUAUGGGCGGGGAUUGUAUAAGUCAGUAGAAACCUUCUUAUAUUUCGAUACUUGGUAAAUUAAUCAUUUCCAACUUUAUAUAGUAUAGAUCGCUAUUCCUGUAUUGAUGUACUGAAAUGAAUAAAAUUAUAUGAAAUGAAA